ACCUGGCUGGCUCAGUCGGUAGAGUGUGUGACUCUUGAUCUCGGGGUUGUGAGUUCAAGCCCCACGUUGGGUG
rnacentral:tRNA from 1 species